GCAGUAUGUUCUGCUACGCGCACGUAAACAACUGUGCAGACAGCAGUAACGUUUAGGUUAUCUAUUGAGGAUUGCGAGUCGUGUCAGAAAUGGGCAACGAGCUGCACAUCAUCCAUAUUCUCAACGAUCUCAAAGAUUUUCUAUCAUGACUGGGUUACAUUUGACUAACUUGAAGUAAAUAAAGUCUGUCCAAUCAAUGGUUUUGCUGAAAGACCAACGCUUUCUCGGCAAAUUCGUCUUGCAGAAGGUACAGAUUCUAGUUGUAAAGGUUUGAAUGUCAAUGACACACUAUCGGUGAAGGUAUCGAAUGUCGUUGUUCAAGCACAACCUACAAAGAAAGUUGAGACUCCAGUUGAAUCUACUCAAGUUACUGAAAAGAUGACUAACUGCAAUGUACAGCCGACUGCACCUUUGACAAGCCCACAACCAAAGCCUGUAUCUCAGUUAACGGAGUAUGAGAGAGUACAAAACAAAAUUAAAAGCAUAUACCCAAUGUAAUGGAUUCUAUUAAAGUCGGUACAUCGGGAUUCAUGUUGUUAAACAAGGAAAGUAAUGGUGACUAUAAUUGAACACUUGUACCCGACGAUGAAAUGGACAACUAUUGCCAAUUGAUUGAUGACAUAACAGUAGUUCCAAACGUUGGCGAUAUGGUAUGUGGUUUAAUCGAGGAUGGUGAGCUGUGGUCUAGAGGCAUAGUCUUAAGAACAACCUCACAAAUCAGAUUAGCUGCCAUUGACGAAAGUCUUUGAUACAGUCAGUUGCACGCCUGUGCCUAAACAAUUCAGUAAUAUUUGCAGUAUGGGUGUAAUGGGUAAACUUUUACCGAACACUCAGAUGCCUGAGCCCAGACCUUCACAUUUACAAUUUACUGUUGACAAUGUUUCGAGUGAGUCAGCUAUGAUAACAUUAAAAUCCGAAGAAGUGGAAAACAUUGGCAAGGCUCUAAUAAUAUAAUAAAUAAAUGGAUUCCUAAUUCUGAAGAAAAAGGAAUCUUGUAUGCUCCCUUGAGCAAUGGCAAUGAGGUGAUGCUCAUGCAGUUUUCUAGUCAAAAUUCAUUGCACGUACGCAAUAUGGAAAAUCUCGAGAAGGAACGAGUUCAUAAACUGGACCAAGAUGUUGAUAAACAUGCUCUAAAUCAAAAGCCUCUGAGUGCCCCGCUAGUAAUUGGGCAGAUAGUCUUAGCACACUACAUCUUAGAUAACAAUUAUUAUAGAGCAAUAGUGACUGCAGUAAAAUACAAAAAUUGAAUACAUUGAUUACGGCAAUGACGAGGAAGUCAGUACUGAUGAACUAUUUGAGUUGUCAGAGGAACUUAAAGAACAAACGUCAGGUAUAAGAAAAAUAAAGCUGAAAGAUGUACCAGAAAAUGUUCCGUUAACUCAAGAAGCAAAAGAUUACUUUGAUCAACUAAUUAUUAAUAGUACAAUUCUAAAGUGCACUUUUACUGGCGAUCCACUAAAAGAUGGUGUUGUAUUGAAAACCGACAAAAAUGAAAAUGAUAAUGACGUUCUAAGGACCUAUUUGAAACCUACAUGGGAAAGAGGUGUAGAAUAUGAUAAAAAAGUGUACACUUUAUAUGAUUUACCAGAUCCAAAGUUAGGAGAUGUUGGAGAUUUAAUAAAAGCAAUUGUAUUAUGUUACUAUGAAGAGAACGGAAGUCUCAUUUUGUGUCCAGAUGAUCAGAUUGCCCUUAAUGCCAUAUAUUAUGACAUGCAGAAAAUCGCUUUUUUCUCUCCUUUUUUAUCGUCCAGUGAAAGAGAACCCUGCUCGGAGAUAAAUAGAAAAGAUUUUCGCUUGAAUUCGUGCAAUUAAAGCGUUUGUGAUUAUAAAAAAAAAGCCUUCGAUUGUAAAAAAAUCAUUCAUUUUUCAUUCUCCAUUGUUAAACUGUGUACAAACUAAAUAAAGUCUUUAAAAAGUCAUAAU